rnacentral:lncRNA from 1 species
AAAGAAUCAGCUCUCAUAAAGAAUUAGAAUCAGAUAAAACUUUACUUAAAAAAGUCGUUAAUCAAACUAAGUGCCCCUUUGGCAUGGCUCUCCGAGCGGCUCUCACUGCAGCUUCACCCCAAGCCAUCCCAAACGCGUCAGAAGAAAAUAGCUUCCGUGCGUGAGCCGAUGAAAAGCCGCACUGGGAAACAACGGCGCGCGACGAGCCAAAAAAAAUGGCUCCCCCUGGCUUCUCCCGUCCACAUGCAUGAAGUUGAAAGAAAUUACAACUUUGCCACCGCCCUCAUCAAUUCCUACCGGUUCAUCUCCCCCAUCCGCCUGCCUCCUCUCUCCCGCUCCUCCUCCCGCGAAGCUCCUGGCGGCGCCGGAUGAAUCGGCAGGGGCGGCCGGUGGCAGGUGGGCGAAGUGGUGGCGGAAUGGAUGGAUCCGGCGGAGGCCAUCCUGAUCCACGGGCUCGUUUUCCCGGAGGCGUCGCCUCCCCUCGUCCGGC